AUAUAUAUUACCCCUACACAUUGAUCUGGUUCUCCCUGUAUCUAUAUAUAUAUUACCCCUACACAUUGAUCUGGUACUCCUUGUAUAUAUAUAUUUAUACACUGCAUCUACUCCUCUGAUACAGCAAUGUGCUCUAAUGCCUCCUCCUUCUCUGAUGCAGCAACGUGCUCUAAUGCCUCCUCCUCCUCCUUCUCUGAUACAGCAGCGUGCUCUAAUGCCUCCUCCUCCUCUGAUACAGCAGCGUGCUCUAAUGCCUCCUCCUUCUCCUUCUCUGAUACAGCAACGUGCUCUAAUGCCUCCUCCUCUGAUACAGCAAAGUGCUCUAAUCUACUUCUCUGAUGCAGCAACAUGCUCUAAUGCCUCCUCCUCCUCCUCUGAUACAGCAACGUGCUCUAAUGUCUCCUCCUCCUCCUCUGAUACAGCAGCGUGCUCUAAUGCCUCCUCCUCCUCCUCUGAUACAGCAACGUGCUCUAAUGCCUCCUCCUCCUCCUCUGAUGCAGCAACGUGCUCUAAUGCCUCCUCCUCCUCCUCUGAUACAGCAACGUGCUCUAAUGCCUCCUCCUCCUCUUAUACAGCAAAGUGCUCUAAUGCCUCCUCCUCCUCUGAUGCAGCAACGUGCUCUAAUGCCUCCUCCUCCUCUGAUGCAGCAACGUGCUCUAAUGCCUCCUCCUUCUCCUCCUCUGAUGCAGCAGCGUGCUCUAAUGUCUCCUCCUUCUACUCCUCUGAUGCAGCAACGUGCUCUAAUGCCUCCUCCUCCUCCUCUGAUACAGCAACGUGCUCUAAUGCCUCCUCCUCCUCUGAUGCAGCAACGUGCUCUAAUGCCUUCUCCUUCUACUCCUCUGAUGCAGCAACGUGCUCUAAUGCCUUCUCCUUCUACUCCUCUGAUGCAGCAACGUGCUCUAAUGCCUCCUCCUCCUCCUCCUCUGAUACAGCAAUGUGCUCUAAUGCCUCCUCCUCUGAUAUAGCAAUGUGCUCUAAUGUCUCCUCCUUCAACUCCUCUGAUGCAGCAACGUGCUCUAAUGCCUCCUCCUUCUACUCCUCUGAUGCAGCAGCGUGCUCUAAUGCCUCCUCCUCCUCCUCUGAUACAGCAACGUGCUCUAAUGCCUCCUCCUCCUCCUCUGAUGCAGCAACGUGCUCUAAUGCCUCCUCCUCCUCUGAUGCAGCAACGUGCUCUAAUGCCUCCUCCUCCUCUGAUGCAGCAACGUGCUCUAAUGCCUCCUCCUCCUCCUCUGAUACAGCAAUGUGCUCUAAUACCUCCUCCUCCUCUGUUACAGCAAAGUGCUCUAAUGCCUCCUCCUCCUCCUCUGAUACAGCAAAGUGCUCUAAUUCCUCCUCCUCCUCCUCUGAUACAGCAAAGUGCUCUAAUGCCUCCUCCUCCUCUGACACAGCAACGUGCUCUAAUGCCUCCUCCUCCUCUGACACAGCAACGUGCUCUAAUGCCUCCUCCUUUUAUACAGCAACGUGCUCUAAUGCCUCCUCCUCCUCUGACACAGAAACGUGCUCUAAUGCCUCCUCCUCUGAUACAGCAAUGUGCUCUAAUGCCUCCUCCUCCUCUGAUUCAGCAAUGUGCUCUAAUGCCUCCUCCUCCUCCUCCUCUGAUGCAGCAAAGUGCUCUAAUGCCUCCUCCUUCUCUGAUACAGCAGCGUGCUCUAAUGCCUCCUCCUUCUCCGAUACAGCAACGUGCUCUAAUGCCUCCUCCUUCUCUGAUGCAGACACAUGCUCUAAUGCCUCCUCCUCCUCCUCCUCUGAUGUAGCGUGCUCUAAUGCCUCCUCCUUCUCCUUCUCUGAUACAGCAGCGUGCUCUAAUGCCUCCUUCUCCUUCUUUGAUACAGCAGCGUGCUCUAAUGCCUCCUCCUUCUCCUUCUCUGAUACAGCAACGUGCUCUAAUGCCUCCUCCUUCUCCUUCUUUGAUACAGCAACUUGCUCUAAUGCCUCCUCCUCCUCCUCCACUGAUACAGGAAAGUGCUCUAAUCUACUUCUCUGAUGCAGCAACAUGCUCUAAUGCCUCCUCCUCCUCUGAUUCAGCAAUGUGCUCUAAUGCCUCCUCCUCCUCCUCCUCCUCUGAUGCAGCAAAGUGCUCUAAUGCCUCCUCCUUCUCUGAUACAGCAGCGUGCUCUAAUGCCUCCUCCUCCUUCUUCUCUGAUACAGCAACGUGCUCUAAUGCCUCCUCCUUCUCCGAUAUAGCAACGUGCUCUAAUGCCUCCUCCUUCUCUGAUGCAGACACAUGCUCUAAUGCCUCCUCCUCCUCCUCCUCUGAUGCAGCGUGCUCUAAUGCCUCCUCCUUCUCCUUCUCUGAUACAGCAGCGUGCUCUAAUGCCUCCUUCUCCUUCUUUGAUACAGCAGCGUGCUCUAAUGCCUCCUCCUUCUCCUUCUCUGAUACAGCAACGUGCUCUAAUGCCUCCUCCUUCUCCGAUAUAGCAACGUGCUCUAAUGCCUCCUCCUUCUCUGAUGCAGACACAUGCUCUAAUGCCUCCUCCUCCUCCUCCUCUGAUGCAGCGUGCUCUAAUGCCUCCUCCUUCUCCUUCUCUGAUACAGCAGCGUGCUCUAAUGCCUCCUUCUCCUUCUUUGAUACAGCAGCGUGCUCUAAUGCCUCCUCCUUCUCCUUCUCUGAUACAGCAACGUGCUCUAAUGCCUCCUCCUUCUCCUUCUUUGAUACAGCAACUUGCUCUAAUUCCUCCUCCUCCUCCUCCUCUGAUACAGCAAAGUGCUCUAAUCUACUUCUCUGAUGCAGCAACGUGCUCUAAUGCCUCCUCCUCCUCUGAUGCAGCAACGUGCUCUAAUGCCUCCUCCUCCUCUGAUGCAGCAACGUGCUCUAAUGCCUCCUCCUCCUCUGAUGCAGCAACGUGCUCUAAUGCCUCCUCCUCCUCCUCCUCUUAUGCAGCAACGUGCUCUAAUGCCUCCUCCUCUGAUGCAGCAACGUGCUCUAAUGCCUCCUCCUCCUCCUCUGAUGCAGCAACGUGCUCUAAUGCCUCCUCCUCCUCUGAUGCAGCAACGUGCUCUAAUGCCUCCUCCUCCUCCUCUUAUGCAGCAACCUGCUCUAAUGCCUCCUCCUCCUCCUCUUAUGCAGCAACCUGCUCUAAUGCCUCCUCCUCCUCCUCUUAUGCAGCAACGUGCUCUAAUGCCUCCUCCUCUGAUAUAGCAAUGUGCUCUAAUGCCUCCUCCUUCUCCUCCUCUGAUGCAGCAAUGUGCUCUAAUGCCUCCUCCUCCUCCUCCUCUGAUACAGCAAAGUGCUUUAAUGCCUCCUCCACCUCUGAUACAGCAACGUGCUCUAAUGCCUCCUCCUCCUCCUCUGAUACAGCAAUGUGCUCUAAUACCUCCUCCUCCUCUGUUACAGCAAAGUGCUCUAAUGCCUCCUCCUCCUCCUCUGAUACAGCAAAGUGCUCUAAUUCCUCCUCCUCCUCCUCUGAUACAGCAAAGUGCUCUAAUGCCUCCUCCUCCUCUGACACAGCAACGUGCUCUAAUGCCUCCUCCUCCUCUGACACAGCAACGUGCUCUAAUGCCUCCUCCUCCUCUGAUUCAGCAAUGUGCUCUAAUGCCUCCUCCUCCUCUGAUGCAGCAAAGUGCUCUAAUGCCUCCUCCUUCUCUGAUACAGCAGCGUGCUCUAAUGCCUCCUCCUCCUUCUUCUUUGAUACAGCAACGUGCUCUAAUGCCUCCUCCUCCUCUGAUGCAGCGUGCUCUAAUGCCUCCUCCUUCUCCUUCUCUGAUACAGCAGCGUGCUCUAAUGCCUCCUUCUCCUUCUUUGAUACAGCAGCGUGCUCUAAUGCCUCCUCCUUCUCCUUCUCUGAUACAGCAACGUGCUCUAAUGCCUCCUCCUUCUCCUUCUUUGAUACAGCAACUUGCUCUAAUUCCUCCUCCUCCUCCUCCUCUGAUACAGCAAAGUGCUCUAAUCUACUUCUCUGAUGCAGCAACAUGCUCUAAUGCCUCCUCCUCCUCUGAUGCAGCAACGUGCUCUAAUGCCUCCUCCUCCUCUGAUGCAGCAACGUGCUCUAAUGUCUCCUCCUCUGAUGCAGCAAUGUGCUCUAAUGCCUCCUCCUCCUCUGAUGCAGCAACGUGCUCUAAUGCCUCCUCCUCCUCUGAUGCAGCAACGUGUUCUAAUGCCUCCUCCUCCUCUGAUGCAGCAAAGUGCUCUAAUGCCUCCUCCUCCUCUGAUGCAGCAACGUGCUCUAAUGCCUCCUCCUCCUCCUCCUCUUAUGCAGCAAAGUGCUCUAAUGCCUCCUCCUCCUCCUCCUCUUAUGCAGCAACGUGCUCUAAUGCCUCCUCCUCCUCCUCCUCUUAUGCAGCAACGUGCUCUAAUGCCUCCUCCUCCUCCUCUGAUGCAGCAACGUGCUCUAAUGCCUCCUCCUCCUCUGAUGCAGCAACGUGCUCUAAUGCCUCCUCCUCCUCCUCUUAUGCAGCAACCUGCUCUAAUGCCUCCUCCUCCUCCUCUUAUGCAGCAACCUGCUCUAAUGCCUCCUCCUCCUCCUCUUAUGCAGCAACGUGCUCUAAUGCCUCCUCCUCUGAUAUAGCAAUGUGCUCUAAUGCCUCCUCCUUCUCCUCCUCUGAUGCAGCAAUGUGCUCUAAUGCCUCCUCCUCCUCCUCCUCUGAUACAGCAAUGUGCUCUAAUGCCUCCUCCUUCUCCUCCUCUGAUGCAGCAAUGUGCUCUAAUGCCUCCUCUCCCCCUCUUCCUCCUCCUCUGCCUUGAGUUGUGGGCUGUGGUUUGCCAGGUGUGAGUGUAUUGUCAUGUUCAGAUCAACCCCCUGGUCCAGUGAUGUAGCAGUGUCAGACAGGGCCUCUGAGACGUCAUGACUGAUCAGGUCCCCUGUGGCGGCUCCACCAGAGGGAGGGGACAUCAGGUCUUGGGGGUUGGGGUGGUGUUGACGACAGGAGACAUCCCCGUCAUUGGCUAGCAUGGACACGUCCUUGGUCAUGUGACCCAUGUCAAUGGAGGAGACCAUCUCUGAUAGGUCAGGUGUCAGAGCCUCAGAGAUACUGGAGGAAUCUGACAGUGAAACAGAACAACAGGAAAACAUGUUUGUCGUCAAAUCCAAACUGCCCACUUGCAACGUCUUUCCUAUGAUACGACAUACAAAUGAUAUUUUCAGCCUCCGUUUUGUUUCUAGUUUGGGUUUUAUUUUAAUUUUACCACCCACCAGCAUGUUUAUUAUUCAGAAAGAGCUGCAAAGUUCUCCCUCUUGGUGACUGAGAAGUGCCAAACAGCUACGGAGCUGUGGAGCUGAUUAAAAUAAGGGCUUCAAACUUUAGUUCUCUCACUUCCACUUUUUUAUUCCUUCCAGAAAUUGGAUCAUUUGUAAAUGUUCACUUAUUUUUUAGAUAGUUUGUAUGAAUAUAUAUAUAUCUGAGCGUUUUAUAAAUGGUAUAAUUACGUGAUAUGAUAGCUUUUUUGAAAACCCGCUCCCCACUGUGCUCUCCCAUAUUAGCAGUGGUUUCUAACUAUUUCUAUGGUGGAUUUAUAAUUCCACCUGAUUCACAAUUUAUGGGAGAUUACACAACUUUGGAGAUAACAAUAGAUGGAGAAGUCAAAGUUUUCCCUAAAUCAAUGACAAAUCCAGCUCCAGAAGCAGCCAUAGAGCCAGCUGGAUAAUCUGUUGAAUACGGUGUAGUUAAAAAAACAAACAUCAACAUUAGAUUACAUAAACUAGCUAGAUAAGGUUAUCAACAUAGCUAGCUACACAGACCGCUGUCAGUGUCCUAGUUGUUGAUGUUUAGCCACUCCAUGUGGAAAUUCCCACACCCAAUUCGUGAAUAUGUAUAAGUAGCCUUUGUCAUUCUUCUGAGGUGGAACCUAAUUGUGGGUUUCAUCUCUAGGACAGGAAAUUACAUCGAAAUAGUGGUGGCAACUUCCUCUGGGGGAGUCCUUUAACACAGAGACCCAGAAAACACAACAAAUAUUGAAGCAUUUUAUGGC
ensembl:lncRNA